CUUACUUAUGAGGACAUAAACUAACUUGGAAAGUCCUGAAGAUGCAGUGCUGUCUAAUGCCGCUAUUUCUGUAUUACCCUUUCAACAAUAGGGGUGUUGCACAGAGUAUUGUGGUGAACAUCCAGCAAACAGAAGAAUUAAGAACUAUGUGGAAGCUGACAUUGUCUUGUUGUCAGCCAUAUUGCUACCCUUAGCUAUGUUAUGGUGUUUAAGAUUAUGGAACAAAGUUUAUGGUGUCUAAGAUUAUGGAACAAAGUUUAUGGUGUCUUAAGAUUCUUUAUACUCCUUGAAAGACUUAUAAUAUUUUUCUGGACUAUUGAACUAUUUUGUUAUUUUUAUUUUUGUAGAGUUAGCCGGAGAGAGAGGAAGUGUUAGCUUACUCAGGCAUGGAUGUACUAU